rnacentral:rRNA from 1 species
UAUGGUGAUUAUGAUAACAUAAGGGAAAAAAAUGAUAUUACCUUAUUAUUAGUGUUGUCCAAAACUGGUGCCAGAAGACUCGGUAAGACCAGAGACGCAAACGUUAGUCAUCUUAAUCAGGCGUAAAGGGUUUGUAGGCUGCUUUAAAAAUUUAAAUCUUUGUAAUAGCUCUGUUACCGUAAUACUAUAUUUAGUUAUUUGAUUUGAUAAUAAAUAAUGUUGUAUAUAAAAUUUAUUAUAUAAAAUAAUAAAAUGAUAUUAAAGAAAAAUAAAUAUCCGUGUAUCAGUAAAGAAAUAAAUGAAUUAAAGCUAGGAUCAAAUUGAGGAUAAACCAAAUAAUACUUAGAGUAGGGCUUAUAUCCGUAGAUACUAAGGGGAAUACUAAAGGUGAAAACUUUUUAUCUACUAUUGAUUGACGCUGAGAAACGAAGGUGAGAAUAGGAAAUAGGAUUAGAUACCCAGAUACCUCUCACUGUCAACGAUGAAUGGUGGUUUGUUAGUUUUAAUAAAAACUGGUAACGAUGUUAACACGAUAACCAUUCCGCCUUGCGAGUACGG